rnacentral:rRNA from 1 species
GUCUACAGCCAUACCACCUUGAACACGCCUGAUCUCGGAAGUUAAGCAGGGUCGGGCCUAGUCAGUACUUGGAUGGGAGACCGCCAGGGAUACCAGGUGCUGUAGGCU